AUGAAGAGAGACAGAGUGAGCAGAGACACUACCGCGUGGAAAGGGAACGGCAGAGAAGAGACAGCUCUAGAGACCGGAGAGAGCCAAUACACAGGAGCAUCCAGAGAGCAGACAGAAAGAUUGGAGAUUCACACAGGGGCAGAGCCAUCCAGAAACCAGCCACAGCAGAGUCAGCCACAGACACUGAGAGGGACCCAGGCCCAGGGAGAAACUCAAAAGCCAUGUACCCCGAGCCAAAGACACACUGACCCAGGGCCAGGGCUGAGAAUAUACCCGAAGUGUAUCAGUACACUGAUGGAGGCAGAGAAGGAUGUCCUUGUUAUUUUCUUUAAGUACAAAGAACCUAUUCCGGUGCAGGCCGACUCCUUUAACACAGCAGGUUUCCGCUGCUGCUGCCGUUGCCUGGGUCAUUCCUGCAAUUUCUCUUUGGGGAUCACCUUUAGAGCUUGCAGUACAGCUCUGAGCAACUGCACCUGAGGCAAGUUUGUAUCCUUUAGGGGUAGAUCUAAUUUAUGAAAACAGCUAAGUGUUAGGAAUCAAGGCUGGAGAAUCAGGUGAUUCCCCAGCUGGGGAGCAGUAUUUCCAGUUAAAAGGAAGGUGGAAAUGGAAAGACACAGAGGUGUGCCCUCCCCCAAAGUGGCUCUGAAAGGCCACCCUGAAGGGGAACCUUACAGGAUAUGACAGAAGGAGAUCGUCUAGUGGCGGCUUGAGGGCCAAUUUCAUUUUUGCGUCUGUCAAAACUGGGCAGUCGUGCUCCUAGGAGCGUUUGCAGCCUGGCACUGGAGGGAUGAGGCCUGGCAUCUGACGGAAAUAUUUGGUCACAGUGGUCCUGCCCUUGAGGAUCUUACAGUUCUCCUCCCUGCCAACAUUAUGUUUACAGGUACAAAGUUACCCCUCUGACAUUCACCACAGCAAAGAUCAACAAGUGCAAGUGACUAGGGCAAAUUCAGAAUCCAAGCCAGUUAGUUCAUCAGGGAAGGCUGCUGGGAGGAGGGGCGUGGAAAGAGAAACCCAACAGGGGAUGGACUAGAUUAGGAGAAGAGCAGCAGUGCCUCUGGCUAAUGGUGCUGAGGCAGGUAAGCAAACCCGAAGUGAGGCUGGGGACAGCUUUGCUGGCCUGGAGUGAGGAGCUGGAUUCAGGAACCAGCCCGAAGGGGAAAGGAAGGGGGCAGGUUUUGAAGGCAGGCUGCGUGAUCUGAAUUUGCUAUGAGAGAAACUGGGGCCCACUGAGGAUGCACUGGCAUGUCAGGUAGAGGGUGUGAGUGCGUGUGUGUGCACACUUGUCUGGGUAGGUGUGUACUCAAGUUUGCAUGUGUUUUCUGUGUGUGUGUGUAGCGCAUGUACAUCCAGGUGGCUUUGCACCCCAGGCCCUUGUCUUCCCAUCUGUGUCUGACUGGCAUGUGGCUCUGCCUGAGUGCGUUUGUUCAUUUGUGUGUUUCCAUGUGAUCAUGUGCGCGGGUAGCUCAGUUGCUUUUUGUGUAUUUUAUUUGGCUACGUGCGGCGAAGGGCAGCGUCUGUGUUUUGCGUGUGUGUGUGUGUGUGCUUGUGUCUGCAGGAGGAGUGGGGCCGGUAGGGAGCUCUGGCUACCCAAGCAUUGCCGUCUGUCUCUCUCCCUCCACUGGCUCCAUCUGCCCUCGCUGAGGUCGUGACAAGGAGGAAAACAGCAAAACAGCAAACAGCUACGGUGGGAGAAACAAGAACAUUGUACGCCCCGCGCAGAUUCCCCCUGCGGGGGACAGACGGACCGACGGGGACACACACACACACACACACACACACACACACACCCUCCGGCGCACACAGGCUGCUCUGCAGACACGCUUCACGGAGCAGGUGCCCCCACUCGCAAUACCCUCCUGGCCCACAGGUCUCCGCACGCACAGGACACAGACACUCGCUGCUGACCUCCCUCCCGCCGCCCCUCCUCUGAGCCCUGCUGCGCGGCCUUCCGCACCUCCCAGCGCCUGCAUGGGUUGGGGGAGCUGGGGCUGGGGGCGCUCAUUCGGACCUCGGAGCCAAUCGCCAGAUACCUAAUGGCUCCUUUGGCCAUGGAAGAGGGUGUGCGUGGGUGUCCUCUCCUUUACUCCUUCCCCAGCCCGGUCGCCUCCCACCCCUCUUCCGGCCCGCGGCAGUUUCCGAAAUCGCCCGGCGGCGGAGAAUUCAUUAGCGGGGGGCGGAUGUAAACGCAGCGCGGUGGAACGUUUUAAUUAGGCCUGAACAAUAAACAAGCUAAACGAGGCGCGCAGGGCUCCCUGGCGGGCCCUCAGCCUCCUCCGCGCGGCGCGGACUCAUUACGGCUGCAGCCAAUUUCAUGCCAGCGCUGAGCACGGGCUGGGCCGGGAGUGGG
rnacentral:lncRNA from 1 species